rnacentral:rRNA from 3 species
AGACCGAUAGCGAACAAGUAGAGUGAUCGAAAGAUGAAAAGCACUUUGAAAAGAGAGUUAAACAGCACGUGAAAUUGUUGAAAGGGAAGCGCUUGCGACCAGACUCGCCCGCGGGGGUUCAGCCGGUACUCGUACCGGUGUACUCCCCCGGGGGCGGGCCAGCGUCGGUUUGGGCGGUCGGUCAAAGGCCUCCGGAAUGUGUCGCCCCCCGGGGCGUCUUAUAGCCGGAGGUGCAAUGCGGCCAGCCUGGACCGAGGAACGCGCUUCGGCUCGGACGCUGGCGUAAUGGUCGUAAGCGGCCCGUCUUGAAACACGGACCAAG